GGGUUCUGCACUGACCCAAGGGCUGCAGGGACACAUCUCGUAAGCUGUGGAGUCAUGUUGGACGUCAGUAGCAUCUCACUGUGGACUGAAGCGUCAUGGGGGCAAAGGUGCUGCAGUUGUGACGGAACCCGGUAAAGGGGAUGGGUGACCCUCAGUAUAAUUGAACGGUGCGCAGGGGGCGGCCAGCCUCCCCACCCUCCACUGGAUUCCAGUGUCCGGCAUACAGACUUCUACAAGAGUCAGCAAUGGGUGUUGCAAGAUCCAUUCCGCAUUAAUAGCGGUUGGGAAAGAACAGGUGCAUCGAGA